rnacentral:lncRNA from 1 species
AUGAAUUGUCUCCCAGUACAGAUUUUAAUUCUUCACUCUCAGCCAACGUGGCUGAAACUUUGGCCCGUGUCGAGCUGCCCACACAGCGCCCUAACGGCUCCUUACGCGGGGAGUGGGGUGGAAAAAUCCGCGUCUCCCGGGGUCCACGAGCAGCGUGCAUGCAGCAGGAGCCGCACCGCCCCCGGGGCUGCACCGGGGCUGCACCGGGGCUGCACCGGGGCUGCACCGGGGCUCGGAGGGGGAGGUCAGCGGAGGUCGGCGGAGGUCGGUGGAGGUCGGCGGAGGUCAGCGGAGGUCGGCGGGGGUCGGGAGCCGGGCGGUGCAGCCCAGCCGGGCCCCCGGCACCCCCGCGAACAGCUCGUCCACCGAGGCUUUGUUUUUGGCCGACGUCUCCAUGAAGGGGCAGCUCCACUCCUCGGCCAGGGCCUUGCCCUCGCCGUACGACACCUCGCGCUCGCCCUCCAGGUCCACCUUGUUGCCCACCAGGAUCAUGGGCACGCGCUCGUACCGCUUGACGCGGAUGAUCUGGUCCCGCAUGGGCUUGAUGUCCUGGAAGCUCUGCUGGUUGACCAGGCUGUAGACGAGGAUGAAGCCCUGGCCGUUCUUGAUGUACAGGUCCCGCAUGGACGCGAACUGCUCGGUGCCCGCCGUGUCCAGGAUCUCGAGCACCGACGGCGACGAGUCCACCUCGAUCUCCUUGCGGUAGAAGUCCUCGAUGGUGGGGUCGUACUUCUCGAUGAAGGAGCCGGUCACGAACUGCACGGUGAGCGCCGACUUGCCCACGCCGCCCGAGCCCAGCACCACCACCUUGUACUCUCUCAUGGCUCCGCCGGCGCCCUCGCCGCGCCCGCCGCGGCCCCGUCGGGGGUGCGCGCCGCGGGGCGCCUGGGCUCGUCGGCUGCACGACCUGCCCCCGGGCUCAGCCUGGCGGCGGCGGCGGCGCGGCGGCGGCGGCGGCGCGGGAGGACAAUGCCGGCGGCCCGGGCGGCGGGAGGCGGCGGCGGCGGCGGCGGCGGCGGGCUGCCGGGGGGGCUGCUGCUACGUGCGCGCCGGCCCGGGCCGCGCGUGGCAUGGGGCCCCGCAGACCGUGCGCCCACCGCCGCGGCCCAGCGCGCUCUCCCCGCAGCCUCCGCGGGGCGACGGCUUCCUACUCGCCGCGCGCAGCCCGGCCCUCCCCGCCCCGGCGAGCAUGCCCAGUGCGCCGACGGCCGCGCCCGCGCCAGCCGCCGCGCCGGGUUUUCCGGGGGGCCGGGCGAGGGGGCGGGGCCGCGCGGGGAGGGGCGGGGCCGGGGCGGGGCCUCCCCGGGAG